rnacentral:tRNA from 1 species
GGCGGUGUAGCUCAGCUGGUUAGAGCGCACGACUCAUAAUCGUGAGGUCCGGGGAUCGAGUCCCCGCACCGCUA